rnacentral:rRNA from 1 species
CUAGGCAAAUUGACGCUGUAACUUCGGGAUAAAGCGUCCCUACUUCGGUAGGGCACAGUAAAAUGGUUCAACCAACUGUUUAACAAAAACACAGGGCUCUGCAAAAUCGCAAGAUGACGUAUAGGGCCUGAUACCUGCCCGGUGCUGGAAGGUUAAGGAAGGAUGUUCGGGGUAACCCAAAGCUUCUGACUGAAGCCCCAGUAAACGGCGGCCGUAACUAUAACGGUCCUAAGGUAGCGAAAUUCCUUGUCGGGUAAGUUCCGACCUGCACGAAUGGUCUAAUGAGUUGAACACUGUCUCCUCCACGAGCCCGGUGAAAUUGUAGUAUCGGUGAAGAUGCCGGUUACCCGCCACGGGACGGAAAGACCCCGUGAACCUUCACUACAACUUUGCAUUGAUUUUGAACAACCGAUGUGUAGGAUAGUUGGGAGACUGUGAAGUGGCCUCGCCAGGGGUCAUGGAGUCAUCGUUGAAAUACCAACCUUCGUUUGUUUAGAGUCUAAUCCCUUACGGGAAACAGUGCAUGGUGGGUAGUUUGACUGGGGUGGUCGCCUCCUAAAAAGUAACGGAGGCUUGCAAAGGUUCCCUCAGUACGGUUGGUAAUCGUACGUAGAGCGCAUCAGUAUAAGGGAGCUUGACUGUGAGACAGACGCGUCGAGCAGGGGCGAAAGCCGGCUGAAGUGAUCCGGUGGUUCUGUAUGGAAGGGCCAUCGCUCAAAGGAUAAAAGGUACUCCGGGGAUAACAGGCUGAUCUCCCCCAAGAGCUCAUAUCGACGGGGAGGUUUGGCACCUCGAUGUCGGUUCGUCACAUCCUGGGGCUGGAGAAGGUCCCAAGGGUUCGGCUGUUCGCCGAUUAAAGUGGCACGUGAACUGGGUUCAGAACGUCGCAAGACAGUUCGGUCCCUAUCUGUGGUGGGCGCAAGUAAAUUGAGAGGACAUGACCUUAGUACGAGAGGACCGGGUCGUACGUACCGCUGGUGUAUCUGUUGUGCCGCCAGGUGCAGCGCAGAGUAGCUAUGUACGGACAGGAUAAACGCUGAAAGCAUCUAAGCGUGAAACCUUCCUCAAGAUGAGUUUACUUUUAAGGGUCGUCAGAGACGAUGACGUUGAUAGGCUACAGGUGUAAAGCUGGUGACAGCAAAGCCGAGUAGUACUAAUUGCCCGUACGCUUUAAUUUUUAUUUAUU